rnacentral:rRNA from 1 species
AGUGAACGCUGGCGGUAGGCCUAACACAUGCAAGUCGAACGGCAGCACAGUAAGAGCUUGCUCUUACGGGUGGCGAGUGGCGGACGGGUGAGGAAUACAUCGGAAUCUACUUUUUCGUGGGGGAUAACGUAGGGAAACUUACGCUAAUACCGCAUACGACCUACGGGUGAAAGCAGGGGAUCUUCGGACCUUGCGCGAUUGAAUGAGCCGAUGUCGGAUUAGCUAGUUGGCGGGGUAAAGGCCCACCAAGGCGACGAUCCGUAGCUGGUCUGAGAGGAUGAUCAGCCACACUGGAACUGAGACACGGUCCAGACUCCUACGGGAGGCAGCAGUGGGGAAUAUUGGACAAUGGGCGCAAGCCUGAUCCAGCAAUACCGCGUGGGUGAAGAAGGCCUUCGGGUUGUAAAGCCCUUUUGUUUGGAAAGAAAAGCAGCAGGUUAAUACCCCGCUGUUCUGACGGUACCCAAAGAAUAAGCACCGGCUAACUUCGUG